GCCACAUCAUAGCUUAGUGGCAGAGCACUGGUCUUGUAAACCAGGGGUCGACUUCGAUCCUCACUGGUGGCU